rnacentral:lncRNA from 1 species
CCCAGCCCCGCCGCAACCGCCAGCUUGAGAUGGGGCUGCCAGUUUUCCUCUCUUCCUUGCUUCUGACCCGGGUUGGAUUUAACGAAUUUUGAGGGACAGCCAUCCGCCCUUCUUUCAUCGUCCUGCUCCGGCUGCUUCUGCUCCCAGCUGCCCAGUGGAUCUUCCAGCCCUGUUCAAAGUCCUCGAUGACUCCCUGUGACCACAGAGGAAAUAGCAACCUCCUCAGCUUUUAAUGACAUUAGGAAGAAGUGAUGUGACUUACAGGAUGGGCCAUCGAAACCAGUGUCCGCAGGACCUUACGUAUCCAUUUGAAAGAUCCAGAAGACAAACUAAACUUUUCCUUUUCCAUUCAGAUGUUUUCCUGCUGGGUGGCCAAAAAGUCUGAAACAACUGAAUUCCUGGGCGCUCCACAAACCUCUCCCAAUCCCCAACUUUCACAAGUGUUUUAUUCCCAAACUCUGUCCAGAUAAAAGAAAGGCCAGUGCUAACACUGAACACACGAGUCCAGGAACCAGAGGUAUGAGUGGAAACAAAGACUCUGGUUUUGCCAGGUAAAUGUUGUCAAAUAUAUGAACAUACAAAUAUAUUUAUCUCCAGUGGGUUGUAAACAGAGCGUGCAUCUCAUACAAUGUCCAAAUUCACUUGCAAGAAGAUGGUAACUGGUUUUGGAGCAUCCCACGUGUCUGAAGCCAAGGAUCCUCCCUUGCUGCGUGAUUCAGGAGAUUUGGAAAUGUUCUGCAAGCAAUGUGGUUUUAAAAUGAAGCCCAGUACAAGCUUUUGAUCUGUAUGGGAUAGUCCGUGUGCAUGAGCAACUCUACUGUAUCGACAGCCUCAAUUUAAACACUCCUCACGUACAGAAUCUGGAUUUAUUAUUUUGCUUUGGGAAACACACAUCUUUUGACUUUUCUACAUCUAUGAUCCCUGGAGAGGUGAGGUCAGAGUCCUGGGGUCUUUCUAAGGUCAGCACCCAAGUGUAGCCUUGGCAGCUUUAGGGCCAUUGGCACAUGUGCCAUAAACAAUCGCUGUUCCAGGGGGAACCAGUAAAAAUCUUUCCCUGAACGCAUCGUGGGUCACAACAGGAGGAAACACUCCAUCACGGAAAAGUGACACUAAUGUAUUCUAUUAGAUUUGCUUAUCAUGUUAAAGAGCAUAUUAAAAGGAAAUGUUUGGAAAAGAGAUGCCAUAACCGGGUCUGAUGGAUUGAGAAUUCCUAAUUUGGAAAAAAUGUGCUAAGACAACAUGAUUGAUGUGAGUGACCUACUUUAUUUUAUAAGAAAGUAUGAGUUGCCUUGGGCUUAUUGGUACACAUAUUUGGAAAAAGUUGGUUUUUUUCCACAUUAAGUUUUUAUUAACAUUUUCAAAAGCGCAGAAACACCAUAGAAGGCUAUAAGUUGUGACUUGUCAAUGCAGAUGUGUGUGUAGUCACUCGCUGCCUUAGAAAAAUUUAUCCCCUUGCUGGAAGGGUUUCUGAAUGAGGAGUUUCUUGCCAAGCAAAUACCUGUUCGGGGAAAAGAUGAUACCUUUUUGACUGAGAGAAGAUGACAAGAAGGGGGCGUUUUUGUUUAAAACACAAAUGGAUCUUCUCCACCGUGUAGAAAAAAUACACGGCAGAAAACUUAGAAUGAUUUCCAUUUCAUGGUGCCUCCUGGCGACCUUCCCGCUGCACGGAGUGAACAGGAUUGGGCUGAGUUAACCAUUUUAUUUUGACUUUAGAAGCUGGAACCCCCAGGGGAGGCUCCCCAAUGUCAAAUGAAGCUACUUGGUCUGGAAGUUGGGAAUUUGGGGGUUAUCCCAGGAAACAGAAGGAACUGUGAAGGCUCCAAGGAGGGUUGGUGGCUGACAGAAUACUACUAUUAAAAUAAUGUUGCCAGUGAGGUUAAGAACUUAAGAAAUGCCUGUUGUAUAAUGUUCGUUGAAGAAGGGGAGAUGUGAAGAAGAAAUAUGUAUUUAAAAGCAGAGGUGGGAGAAUAAGCUUUCUGAAGGCAACUUGUCAACUUCGUCGCAAAAGCCUUUUGCAUCCAGAAAGUCCACUUCUAGAAAUUUCUCCUAAAGAAAGAAUCAUAAUAUUCAUAAAUAUUUUGGUAAUGAGGUGUUUACUCUAGAAUCACAAUAUUGCAAAAUGGACUCAACUGUUCAAAGUGAGAGGAUCGCUUAAAUAAAUUCAUACAUUUAAUGCAGUCAUUAAAAUGCUAAUGUAGAAUAAUAACAUGGAAAAAAGGUUGGAUAACAUUUUAUUAAGUAGGAAAAGUGGAUUAGAAAACAAUAUUCAUGUUAUGAUGCUGUCUGUGAGAUUUGGUAUACAUUCUACUUAAUUCAUAGACAUAUAUGUUUGUCUACUUCAGUAGAUAUAUGCACAAUGNCCCUGUCUGGUCACAGUGAGGAUGUGUGUUGAUGAGACCAAUUAAAUCUUUGGAAAUUUAACAGUCCAUCCAUUUUCUUCAAGUUAGUAGAAAAAUUCAUUAAGUAUUCAUUUAAAAAUAUUUGUUGACUUUUAAAUUCUAUUAUUUCUUUGUGCUAGAUACUUUAGUAAAUGCUUUAUAUAUAUAUAUAUAUCAUACUUUUUUGAAGGAUAUUCAUCAAAAUCUUAACAAUGUCUAUUUCAGAAGAAUUGAUUUUACAGGUACUGUUCGCUUCUUUCCUUUUUUAUGUUUUCAUUUUCUAUAAUAGGCUAAUAAGUCAAGCAGUUAUUAAAUGGAAAAUCCAAGAGACUCCACUGAUUACUUAAUAGAAAAAAUAAGAGAGUUUGCAAGGAUUCCCAGACACAAACUAGCUUUCUUAUAUAAUAGUAAUAACAAGUUGAAAAUAUAAAAUGAAAAUUAUUCCAUUCACCAUAGCAAAAACAAAACAAAGCAUAAAUCACCCACAAAACUGAAAAUACAGUGACUUAUUCAUGCAAGAAAUAUCUAAGACCUGUUUAGAAGCAAAUAUUGAAGUAUAUCAAAGGAAAUCUAAAUAAACUAAAUACUGUAUUUCUGCUUGGGAUGGCUAAACGUUGUGAAGAUUUCAAUUCUCCUCCAAGUUAGUUUAUAAGUUUCAGUUAAAUUUCUGAUUAAAAGAACAAAUUGAUUCGAACUUUUGUCUAGGAGAUUGGAUGGAUACAUGAGAAUAAACAAUUUUUGUAAAAAAAUAAAAGAGGAUGCUUGCUUUAUUGGAUUUUAAAAGAUAAUACAAAGUCAGAAUAAUAAGCAUUAUGACAAGGUUGUAGGAAGAUCAUAUAGAUAAAUGAAUAAAAUAGAGUGUAAAAUAGAAUAAAAUAGGCUAAUAAAAUAAAGUGUAUAUAUGGGAAUCUAGUAUCUGAUAAAGAUUGUAUUUCUUGUUAGUGGAGAAAGACUAAAUAUUUUUCCAUAAACAAUGCUGGAAUAAUUAGUUACCCAUGUGGAGGAGGGAAAAAUUGAGUUUUCACCUCAUGCCACAUUCACACACACAAAAUACAUUGCAAUGUAAUGAAGAUGUAUAUACAUUUUGAAAAAUUAUAAAAAUAGGAAAAGAAACUAAAAAAAUAAGAAUUCCAUAAUCUUGAGACUGAGAAGGCCUUUCUUGAAAAGAGAUACACCUCAGAAUCCAGAAAGGAAAAAAUUAAAAAUUUCACCUGCACAAUUAUUUAAGUUUUGUGUGUGCAAAACACAUACCAUAAACAGAAGAUAAAUGAGGGGAAAAUGUAUGACAAACAGUAGAUUGAGGGCUUUAUUAUAUAAAGUGCUGUUUUAAAUUAAGAAAAAUACCAGGUCAGGGGGAGGGAAAGAUUGGGGAGCUUGGGAUGGCACGGGCACACUAUGGUAUACGGAAUGCAGGGUAAAUGGAGCCCUGCGUAUAGCCCCUGAAAAUCUCCUCAAUAUUCUGUGAUAACCUAUAUGGGAAUGGAUAUGUGCAUAUGUGUAACUGAAUCACGCUGCUGUACAGCAGAAAUGAACACAACACUGUAAGUCAACUCUACUUCAAUAAAAAUUUCUAAAAAUUUUUUAAAAGAUAUGAAAAAAUAGCAUCAUUCCAAGAGAAAAAUUGGGCUGCCACCCAAGCAAGCUUUUUGCAGAAGAAAUACAAUAGCCACUAAACAUAGAAAAAAGAAAAAAAUGCUCAGCCUCAUGAAUACUUAAGCAACUUAAAAUUCGAACACAAUUUCAUUUUCACCCAUCACUACCAAAAUUCGAAAAAGCAAUGAUAAAAUGCAACAUAUUGAGGAGGUAGAGAAAUAUUUUGAUCCUGUAAUCUCACUUCAGGGAUUACCCUGUGGAAAUAGUCACAAAAUAGUCCAAUGCUGGGAUACUCUGCAGUUGGUUGAAGGAAGGCGGCAGACCUAGGCAUGGAUAGCAAGAAAGCCCAAGAGAGCGAUGUAUGUGUGAUCCCAAAUUCCAUUUCAGAAGCGUGCAUGGUUAGUUGAAUAUUGAGAAGAAACUUUACAGCAGACUAUCAAGGAUCGUAGGAUGGGGGAGGCACUGUCACCAACUUUUUCCUCUUCUGCCACAUUUACAUGUCUUAUGAUCACGGGUCACCUUUAAAAUAAAAAACAAAUGCACAUCUGUGAUAACCUAUGCGGGAAAAAAAAUCUGAUAGAGAAUGGAUGUGUGUACAUGUAUACCUGAAUCUCUUUGUUGUAUAGCAGAAAUUAUCACAACAUUGUAAUCAACGAUACUUCAAUAAAACUUAAAAGAACAAAC